rnacentral:rRNA from 1 species
UAGGGAAUCUUCCGCAAUGGACGCAAGUCUGACGGAGCAACGCCGCGUGAGUGAAGAAGGAUUUCGGUUCGUAAAACUCUGUUGUUAGAGAAGAACAGCGCAUAGAGUAACUGUUAUGCGUGUGACGGUAUCUAACCAGAAAGCCACGGCUAACUACGUGCCAGCAGCCGCGGUAAUACGUAGGUGGCAAGCGUUGUCCGGAUUUAUUGGGCGUAAAGCGAGCGCGGGCGGUCAAUUAAGUCUGAUGUGAAAGCCCCCGGCUCAACCGGGGAGGGUCAUUGGAAACUGGUUGACUUGAGUGCAGAAGAGGGGAGUGGAAUUCCAUGUGUAGCGGUGAAAUGCGUAGAUAUAUGGAGGAACACCGGUGGCGGAAGCGGCUCUCUGGUCUGUAGCUGACGCUGAGGCUCGAAAGCGUGGGGAGCGAACAGG